rnacentral:rRNA from 1 species
GAUGAACGCUGGCGGCGUGCUUAACACAUGCAAGUCGAACGGAAAGGCCCUGAUCUUGUGGGGUGCUCGUGUGGCGAACGGGUGAGUAACACGUGAGUAACCUGCCCUUGACUUUGGGAUAACAUCAGGAAAAUGGGGCUCAUACCGGAUAGGAGCUCCUGCUGCACGGUGGGGGAUGGAAAGUUACGGCGGUAGUGGCUGGACUCGCGGCUUAUCAGCUUGUUGGUCGAGUAGUGGCUUACCAAGGCUGCGACGGGUAGGCGGCCUGGGAGGGUGACCGGCGACAUGGGGACUAAGAGACGGACCAGUCGGCUACGGGAGGCAGCAGUGGGGAAUAUUGCACAAUGGGCGGGAGCGUGAGGCAGCAACGUCGCGUGCGUGAUGACGGCCUUCGGGUGAUAAACCGCUUUCGCCGGAGACGAAGCGUGAGUGACGGUAAUGGGUAAAGAAGCACCGGCUAACUACGUG